UUCCAUGUUCACUACACAUUCGUCCUCUUCAAAGAGUCCAGGCAGGGGAAGGCAUUUGAGGAGCCUGUGGAGUCUCCUACUUUCCAUUGAAAAUAACACUUCCCGUGCUGCUCGCUUAGGAGUCCGCGGAACCAUGUGACCAACCUAAACGUGAUCGCACUGCCAGCCAAUCGCAGAGGGCAGAAAGGCCAAUCCCAGUUCACACCCUCCGGACAGUGGCAACUAAAGGGCAGGGGCAUUCAGAGACGUAAAAACCCCAGGCAUUGCCCGAGAGGCUCCUUGACCACAUACUUUAAAGUUCGCUCUCACUUCAGGAGCACGUGACUGCAGGCAGGCAGGGCCCCUUAAGCCACCUGGCUACUGGAGCUAGGGACUCUGGAAUGGGUGUUUCGGGCCGUGGCAGCUUUCAGUCUCAAUUCCCCGCAGCUGGCAAACAAGCCCCUUGGCGUCACAUCUGAAGAUCACUUCUGGGACGCGCUAGGAUUCUGACUGAGUCCUCUUAGAAGGGCUUCCUGUCGCUUGUCCAGGAAAGUUAUGAGGCCCCAAGUGGGAACGUGGCUGAAGACCAGGCAGGGCCCCCAAGCCCCUGCGGCAGACUCUAGGGACCCGACAGUAGUCACCACCGCCCUUCUCAAUAAGACAGGGCCACACACUCGCUCUCGCGCUGUUCUUUUGAUUUAUUGUUUAGAAUGAAGGCUAAUUACAGUCACUAGCCUAGGACUCAAUUCCUCUCGAGGAAACGUCAACGGGAAGGAGGAUCAGCAAACUAACCUGAUUAAGUCUUCGUUCCACUCCCCCUCCCCAUUCAGCUACACGAGAGACUCGAGAGGUUUCCAAAUGCCGCCCAAGGCUUGGAAAAGGGAGGGGAGAAGCACCCAGAGGACAGUCCUGCGUAAAGCCCGCUCCUCCCCUACCCCGCACGCCGGAGAGGCGGCCCCGCGCCGGGGGAGACGCAGUCUGGGUGCGCAGACUGCGCACUGCCCGCGGCUCCGCGGAGCCUCCCGGCUGCCGCCCACCGAACGUGCGCCCGCUCACGGCCGCCGGAAGACUCCGAGCCCCGGCCCGCACCUGGCGCCCCGCGUCCCCGGAGGCCCUCACCUUCGCCCACCGUCCGCUCCCACACUCCCUGAGGUUCGAGGGGCGCGCCCCGGGCUGCCGCGCACGUCUCGGCCCUCUACCUCCUUCCUAACACUCCGCCUGGCAGAGGAGGCAGAACCAUUGUUCAAUGCUCAGAAGCCCACAUACCUCAGCCCCUGUCAAGGGGGCGAGAAACGAGGCAAAGCAGCGGCUCUGGGGGAGGCGGUGUGAGGGAUCGAAGACUAGUUCAGGCGAGGCGUCAGGACACCCCAAACCCCACUGUUCCCCAAGCCCGGCUCCCUUUAGCCGCGGCGCUGACAGCUCAGAGGCGCCACCACUGAGGGGAGGGAGAGAAGGCGAGAGAGAGCCGAGAGGCGCCUCCUAGGAGGCGGGUGGGCAAACGGAGACCUGCGCCUCGGGGUCUCCCGGUGCCCCGGCUGGGUCCCGGCCGCCGGCGGAGGGGCGCGUCCUCACUCACCGGUUCCGGUGGCGCCGCUCUCCCAGGGCGCCCAGCACAGCGCGAGCAGCAGCCAGAGCGCCCAGCGCGCGGACGUGCCCAUGGUGCCCGCCUGGAUGGUGCCGCCGCCGCCGCCGCCGCCGCCGCCGCCGUUCGCUCCGCACAACAAGUUACCAGCCCUUCCGAAAGGAGGAAGAAGGCUCCAAGCUUGAUAUAGAAGACUAUCAUACCCAGAGAGGGUAACUGAAACAAAAGAAAUUACUCCAGCAUCAAGCUAAAGACACGCCUUAAAGGAUGAGAAGGAGCAGAAAUCUUACCAGCAAGGCCAGAAAGAAGCUGUGCAUGAACAGGUGGCAGUAUGAGCAAUACUUAAUUCCCUGUUGUGAUUACUAGCACAUGAAACUUGUGAAGCACAUAGCCCCAACUAAAGGAUCUUGUGUUAUAAUUUUUCAAAGACUGUACAGGAGGCACACCAGCCAUACAAAUACUAGAAAUCAAGUGUUAUUUCUAAAGUAUCAUGCACUUUGGUGAUUAGCAACUUGGGGAGCCAUCGGCUGAAUUUCUUGAAGAAACCUCCAGGGAGUCAGCCAUAACUCUAAGGGUAAGGCAGCUUUCAAGAAGUGUGAUUCGUCUUCUGUAAGUAUUAGGGCCACCUAGUGCCACUCUAGCCCAGUCUGCAGCAGGUCACCUGGAAAUGAAAUUCUGAGACAUAAGAACUAGCAGGAAAAAUGUCCCACCUUGUUCAAAGGAUGAAGUCAAUUUAAAGGGAUGAGAACACUGGCAGAAUAUUUUAAAUAUAUUAACUGAUUUUCGUCUGCUGGCAGCUCCUGUUGCCUUUGCCGCCUCCCCCAAACCCAUUUAGAUAUCAUUUGUUCUAUCAGGAAGAAGUUUCACCAGAGAGCAAGAAAAAAAGCCUUUUGAUUUUCCAAAGUCAAGACCCUGAGGGCACUUGGCAUAGAGACACUAAGCUGAACUGAUAUAAGGCUUCCCACCCCUUGUAGGACCUGAAGUUUUUCAGGUGUGCUGUGAGGACAGUGUUAGGGCUAGGGGAGGAAAGGGAACUGUUAGAUGCUGGUGGGGAGGAGGGAAGGGAAGGUGGAAGGGGAAGAGGAAGCAGAGACAGCUCUUAGAUGCUGGUGGCUCCCUUCUCCUCUGAGAAAAAGACUCUACACCCUGCUCCCCAGAGGAGAGGGUUGUGGACGACAGAACUGAAGAUGGAUUGGGGUUGUCAUCACCUCCAAGCAGAGCUCAAGAAGACUGCAAAAACCACAACAGAAAUGGCUGAGUGGUAUCCAGGGGACAGAUGGUCGGAGCCAGCCUCAAAGAACUGAGUGUACCCCAGCACAGCUCACAAGUGUUAGAAUGAGUCUUCUGUGCCCAAAAGUCCCACCAGAAUAGUAAUGAAGGACCCACAGAGCUUCCUGGUGCCCCUGUGGCCUGAAAGCAGUGCAGUAAAGUUUCCUGUGCCAACAAGGGGCUUGGCAACAGUUGAGAGAAAAUGUGCCAUGUCUGAAGGAGUCUCAUGCUGGGGAACAGCUCAGUGGUGAAAACCCACCAGGAAUAAGGUCAUAUCAGCCAAGGCUGGUGCUGAGAUAGCAUCACAAAGAGAUGUGUGAUGCUAUCUCCACCCAUUGCUCUGGUACAGCGUAAGACCCCUGGAAACCAGUGAAAAGAGUGGGGGUGCAGAAUUGAAGGAAAUUAGGUUCUAACACUGAAGAUAGGCUCAAAAUAGAUAAGUGGUUACAGAAAAAUAGUUUCACUUCUUGUACAAUUGAAUUUGUUGAUUGAGUCCUGAACCCAAAGUAAAACCAGUCAUUCAAUCAAUAAGUUAAUUUAAAAAAAUCAGUCAUACCUGACAAAACUAUUUAGCUCCUCCUUUCUGGAAUUUAGGAGAAUUGUAACAAUUCCAAUCAAGGUUUGUCUUACAGCCUAAUACAAAUCUUGACUAUUGCUGUGUAGUUAGUUUAUGUGCAGCCCCAGGCUCGUGGGUGUAGCUCAGUCUGCAUUGCUUAGUAAGUGCUGAUAUGUGGCUGGCACUCUUCUAGGAACCUCUGCCAUUUUUCCUCAUUUAAUCCUUUAAAUAGUAUAUGUGAGACCAGAUAUUAUUCCCACUUUACUGAUAAGUAAACGAAGACUCAACAAAGUGAAAUCUGAGAGAAUUCUAAUAAUUGUCAAACAUUUCCUUUGUGAAAGUUGGUUCCAUAUUUUGGUGGGUAAUGCCCAGCACUUCCUUCCUUCUUUUCCAACAGUCUCGUCUUUUCCUGUGCAUUCUUCACAGGCCCUGUCCCACCUCUGUGCCUUUGUUCCAAAGCCCCUACUUCAGAUACUGCUCCUCUUCCUGUCCUUUUGACAUCUUCCCCAGUUUCUAAGGUGCAAUUUCAAUUUUGUCUGUUCCCUGACAGUUUUCCAAACCUCUUAGCUAUUAUUAUCUUAUCCAUCCUCAUGCUCCUUCAGCACCUCACACAUCCAUGAUAGCCCUUUAUCAAGUCACCUUUGUAUUGCAGGUUUUUGGUCACGAUAGUGUCAGCUGCUAAUUUGUAAACCCCAGAAGAGCUCCAUCUUGUGCAGCCCCAGCACCUACAAUGAACGUAGCAUCCUAGGCUGGCAGGUAUUUUGGUGCCUAUUACAUAAUAAAGCCUUAACAUAUAUUUGUCAAACUAAAUUAGCUUAAAAUUCUAAAACACAUAGUUAGUGAAACAUGAGACAGAUGCUUACAAGAAGGUUUAAUUGGCAAUGUCUCUGAAUUCCUCACAAUUUUCUUCUUUACCCCUAACUUAUUUCAAUUUUUUUCAAACAUACAAACAGUUUAAAGACUCAUUCAUUGAACACCCAUGUAAUGACCACAUAGCUUCUAUAAUAUGCCCUCUAUUAUAUUUAUGUUAUGAUAUCUGUCCAUCUACUCGUCCUGCUAUCCAUCCAUCAAUACAUAUUUUUUCCUCACUGCCUUUCAAAUACAUCCAACAUAUGAGAGACCUUUGACUUUGGAAUCAGAUCUCAGAUUAAUUCCUGGAUUCAGCACUUACUUGUUUUGUAAUCUUGGGGGUGUUGCUUAACUUGAGUCUGUUUUCUCUUUGUAAAAUAGGGGUGAAUAAUGAUGUCUACAAAGGUUGUGGUGAGGAAUAGAUGAGACUGUAUAUAAAGGGCCUGGCACAUAGUGUUUGUCCAAAAUAAAAGGACAGAAUAAAUAUUUGAACCAUCAGCACCGAUUUGCAAUGAUUUGUGCUUUUGGUGUUCUUGCUUCCAGCGUCUACUUUAGGCUCAGAAGGAAAAGAAGUUUACAGGAGACAAUCACUCUUAUACUCUUCCAUGGUCACAAACAAGAGGUCUCUGGAUCUAUAGGUGAGCAAGAGGUGAUCUGGGAUUUGGAGUUGGUACUGCAUUCUGAAUUCCCUGGCACAAUUAAAAGGCAAUAGAGCUAACAGUAGAAUCACCAAUUAUCUGCUUUACCCAGGCAACAUGGGGGAUCUUAAUAUCUAUCUAAAAUUCAGAAGAACUUUUGCCAAAAAUGGAGAUGAUCAGGAGAGGAUGUCAGAGCUCUGCCACAGCCAUAACCUGCCUUCUGAGCCCUUUGGUGUAGGGAUUUGAAUUUUUUCCAAGUGUAAGCCCUCAUUAGUAGCACUCUCCACUCUAAAGCUAUAAGAUAUCCCCAAUUCAUGAAACUAUUUCUUAAUUAUCUGUAGGUCAUCUUGCCCCUGAAAUGGACCUAGAAAACUAUGGCUGGAGAAUGGAGGAAAAGAUCACUUUCUCUGUUUCUUCAGACCAGGCAUCAGUUGGGAUGUUGGGAUGUCGAUAAAAGGAAAUCUCAUCCUUUGUUUUAUGCCUAUGCUCUCACCAUACCCAUUCCCAUGUCUGGUCAUCAUAGUGUCCAUCACAGCCCUUAACUGAAUCAUGUUGAGUACGGGAUGGUGUGAAUAUCAUGGUUUGAAUACAAGCAUGGUCUGUCCAUGGGGAUUCAUUUUUGCAGCCCACUUAGACUUAAGCCCUCUUAAUUUCAAAUUUAUGUUUGUAUGUGCCAAUAGAGCUGUCCCUAGAUGAACUG